rnacentral:rRNA from 1 species
AGCGAACGCUGGCGGCAGGCCUAACACAUGCAAGUCGAACGUACCUUUCGGGGUUAGUGGCGGACGGGUGAGUAACACGUGGGAACGUGCCUUUAGGUUCGGAAUAACUCAGGGAAACUUGUGCUCAUACCGAAUGUGCCCUUCGGGGGAAAGAUUUAUCGCCUUUAGAGCGGCCCGCGUCUGAUUAGCUAGUUGGUUGAGGUAAUGGCUCACCAAGGCGACGAUCAGUAGCUGGUCUGAGAGGAUGAUCAGCCACAUUGGGACUGAGACACGGCCCAAACUCCUACGGGAGGCAGCAGUGGGGAAUCUUGCGCAAUGGGCGAAAGCCUGACGCAGCCAUGCCGCGUGAAUGAUGAAUGUCUUAGGAUUGUAAAAUUCUUUCACCGGGGACGAUAAUGACGGUACCCGGAGAAGAAGCCCCGGCUAACUUCGUG